CAACUUUCAACAACGGAUCUCUUGGCUCUCGCAUCGAUGAAGAACGCAGCGAAAUGCGAUAAGUAAUGUGAAUUGCAGAAUUCAGUGAAUCAUCGAAUCUUUGAACGCACCUUGCGCUCCUUGGCUAUUCCGAGGAGCAUGCCUGUUUGAGUGUCAUGU
rnacentral:rRNA from 1 species